rnacentral:rRNA from 2 species
GGGGAAUAUUGCGCAAUGGGGGAAACCCUGACGCAGCUAUACCGCGUGAGUGAAGAAGGUUUUCGGAUCGUAAAGCUCUGUUAUUGGGGAAGAAAAAAAGACGGUACCUGAGGAGGAAGCCACGGCUAACUACGUGCCAGCAGCCGCGGGAAUACGUAGGUGGCAAGCGUUGUCCGGAUUUACUGGGCGUAAAGGGAGCGUAGGCGGAUACUUAAGUGGGAUGUGAAAUACCUGGGCUUAACUUGGGUGCUGCAUUCCAAACUGGGUGUCUAGAGUGUUGGAGAGGAAAGUGGAAUUCCUAGUGUAGCGGUGAAAUGCGUAGAGAUUAGGAAGAACACCAGUGGCGAAGGCGACUUUCUGGACAAUAACUGACGCUGAGGCUCGAAAGCGUGGGGAGCAAACA